rnacentral:miRNA from 1 species
UCGGGAGAUCUGUCGCGAUGC